GUGCUCGCUUCAGCAGCACAUAUGCUAAAAUUGGAAUGAUACAGCGAAGAUUAGCAUGGACCCUGCGCAAGGAUGACAUGCAAAUUUGUGAAGCGUUCCAUAUUAAA
ensembl:snRNA U6 U6 spliceosomal RNA